UUUAUUUUAUUAAUUCUGGGGGCUUUCACAGCUUUAUGGCUGUUGGAUAUUUAUGUCCCCAAACUUGCAGCAAGUUUGGUGAAGGCCCCUAAAUUUAUUUUAAUUUAGGUUUUUUAUUCUCUUUUGGUAGAUGGGCUCUAUAUUAAUAUUUAUCUUUUUAUUAUUGUGUUUUUAAGAGUUUUAGGGGGAGGGAACAUGUUUUAAGAUGUUUGGGUACCUUUUUCUCUUAAGGGAAGGAGUUUCCUUCAAGGCUGCUCAGAUAGUCCUUCAGCCACACUGCCCCCCCCCCCUUCCCUUGCAUUGCAUUUGUGCUGUAUUUGGUUUUGGUUUCAGUAAUGUGACUUUGUGUAGUCUCUGAACUAGUGGCAUGUAAAUACCAAUUACUAAUGUUUCCUCUUCUGGGGAGAUUUAUCUGUUGAAAUACUUAAAAUGCUUAGGCUUUAACUAGUAAGUGACAUUUAUAGUCACAAAAUUGUGUAGCCUAAAUUACAGAAUACAGUUUCUUUGGAGGAGGUUAAGAUGUUAAUACUGCUGUGUAUGUAAGAUGCACCACAACAAAUAUUAAUGUAGAGCCCUAUGAAGAAAUAGAUUCAAGUUGGUGAAGUAGAAUAGAAGAAUGAGAAAUGGAAGCUGCAGAUUUUUCAGUUUGUCAGUUUCAGGGAAAACCUUUUGUCAGAUCUCAAAUACACCAAAUUUGACAAUCUUUUGUCGACAAUACUGAAAGCACUUUUUUGAAACCUUGUGGAAUUUUCUUGCAUAGUCAAAAUUUGCUUAGGUAUAUGUUUAUCUGAAGUUCUGUCUUUCACAAAGUGACUAGCAAAAAAUUCUACCCUUUGUGAAGAAAAAUGAGCUUUGGUGUUGCUGCUCACUCUGUUGCAGAUAUAUUGGCUUUGAAUGCUUGAGGUUGCUUUUUAAAGACAACUUCAGCUUCAGAAGAACAGGUUUUGUUGAAGGAGGUCUUGUGGCCUAUCAGCAGUGAAAAAGAAAAUUAACAAACAUUGGAGUCGGGAUUUAUAACUUUUCGCAUUUUUGAGAUCUUUUUAAAAUCUCUGGUGUUUUUUGAUGAGCAUAGACUAUUUCGUUUCUUCAAGAUUUUGCUACAUGACCCCCAGUUGUGAUUUUCAGUAAUUUUAAUUAAAGGAUAGAGUUGUAAUUCUUAACUUAGAAGAGUGGAUUUCCCAUUCCUGAUGUGCUGCUCUUUGUUUGUACUCUACCUUUUGCAUUUUUCCUGUAGAAGGCCCCCAUAAAUAGUCUAGUCUGAUUGGAAAAUUGACAUGUCUUCUGUUGUCUGUUUCGAAUUAUUACUGAGCUUGGUGUUGCUUUUCUAAUCUUCGUUGUGGUGCUACCCUUGAUAACAGUGAAGGUGAGAACAACACUUCAAGAUUCACUACUGCAACUAGUAUUUUAGGAGCAUUUGGCUUAGUUCUUAUUUCUGUAGAAUGUCCAAGGAAACCAUUUAACCAAAAAUAAUAUACAGUAUGGCUUGGACUUUAUGAAUCUCUUAGAGACUCAAAAUGAAAAAUGGGCAAAUUUCAAAUGCCUGAUAAUGAAGUUUGUUACCAGUUUCCAUUUAAGACCGAUGCAGCACUAGGUAGUUUUUAAUCUAACUACUCACAUUCAGCUUGUCAUCAAGCACAGAAAGCUGAAGUUCAGAUCUGUAUGCAGUCUUGUGUCCAAUGGAGUACCCUACUUAGAUCCACACUUGGGUUAUAUCUUACAAAUUGAUGAUCCCUGGCAAGAGCCAGAAGUUUUCAAAUUCAGAGAAACUGCUUUUAUCUGUUUUUGUUGAAGAUUCGUUUCACAUCUUCAUGGAAAAGAUGUCUCCAAAAUGCAGUUCCUCUUUUCAUUGUGACAUUGUUUAAGCUCUGUAUACUGAUACUUUUGAGCAAGUGAACCAUUCCUUUGUGUUUUGAUAUGUUUGUGAGCAAAAUAGAGCAUAUCUCAGAACCAUGUCUCCAUAGAUUUUUUUUUUUCUUGAAGCUGCUUUUAGACAAUUCGAAGAUCAGUUUCACACUAUCUACUUCUGAAAGAUGCAUUUGACAUUAAGACAGUUCUGUGGGGUGUUACUGUAUGAAUUAAAGGGGGGUUUUGACUCUGGGUUUUGCUGCUAUGCUGCAAAUAGGGUUUGUAACUUCCGGUGGGUAGUUCACACAUCCUUCACCUCUAUCCUUUACAGUGCGGUCCUUUCUGUAAAGGACUGGACAGGACAGGUCUUUUUUGUUCCUCCUUUGGGAGUUGGUAGUUUUAGCAGGUUAUAUCUGUGUUACUCUGACCUGUUACCACAGCCUCAUGUAUGUCCUUAAAUUUGCAGCAAGUAAUGAUGUGCGUUUUUCUUUUGCUUUAUGUUUUGUCUUCAAGGGUACGUGUGCAAGUGCUGCUGUCUUUCUGGUCACAAGGAUAGCAUAAUGGCUCUGUGCUUUUUGCUGAGAGUAUUUCCUCAGCUGUUAGACCAGCUGGCCUGUCAUUUCUUUAAAACAACUUGAAAAAUUUUCAUCUAGUGCAAAUGGUUCAUGUUUUGCUCUUUUUGUGACAUUGUGUUAGUGAUGUUUUUCUCCCUGCCUCCUUGUGUGGAUCUAAGGGGGAUAGGUAAAAACCCCUGUAAACGAGAUCUCUUUAUUUUGAGGAACAGUAGUGUGUUUUUACACAGACUGCUGCAAUAUUGCACUGUCAGUCACAAAGUUGUACGUCUCACUGACUGUGGAAUUUCUUUUCUAAUGAUAAUAUUUUAGUGACUUGACUUUUAUAGAUAUUAAUGUAAGUAGGUCUUGGCAAGUUUGAGGGUUUUUUAAGCUCAAGUAGAGGUACAUGACUUUUUUUUUUUAAAGGGCAAGAAUUACUGAUAUUCUUCUAAAUUGGGUGAAUUUGCACCCUCUGGUUUUAACAAGAGAAGUGAUUGGGAGAUGUGGCAAAUAAAAUAGGUACCACACAUGAAGUUCUGGCUUGCGUUAUAAUUGUAUGAUGAGUUCAUAAUGUGUUCUGUGCCUUGCCUCAUAAAGAUUGUAGCCCUUAAAUACUCUGAGGAAUGGGCUACCUUCAGAAGAACUUUUUAGAAAAGUGUGUACCCUUGCAAUCAAAAUAAUCAGACCAAUUAAGUAAUGGGUAGUGAUUGGCUUCUGUAAAAAUGCAGCUAUCAGUGACUACCCUAUUUUUCUGUAAUAGUCAGAGUAGGUAGAGUAAGAAAAGUUUUGAGCUAUACUUUGAAGGGAUCAUGAUAGAAUUGAGAUGAUUCUGAAGUGUAAUGUAUACAACAUUCUUUCUGAAGUUCUGAAAAACGUUGUGAGAGUUUUCUUAAAUACUGUAAACAGCAGGUUUAUGCAGGCUUUUGAUUGUCAUGAGUACAGAUUCUCAUUAAGGCUCCACUAGAAGAAAAUACAGUUCAAGUACAGUAUUUGUAGAUUUUGUUCUAUAGUUGACUACAUUUUUACCUUUGUCAUGAGCGUCUGUUUGAGGGAGCCAGGCACUUUAACUUGCUGCUUUUGCAGACAGCCAUAUCCUGUCAUGAACCACAGGAUCCAGGAUGUUAUCCUCAGUUGUUUGUUCUUAGCAUCCUGAUGAGUCAGUAUUGACCAUGGUAUGAACUGUCUGUGAGGGUUGGUAUUUAUACACCUGAACAGUGUUGUGAAUAGCGAAGUGCUUGCACCUUCUGAGCAAGUUUACAAUAACUUGUUUUAUGGUCUUUCUUACAGUAGGAACAAUCAGCAACACUGCUGUUCUAAUGAUGAUGAAUUUAACUUCUCCAUAAAUAUUGUCUUGAACUUAUCUCAAGGUUUUUCUUUCUCAAGGAUUUAAAGUUGUUAAAAAGUAUUUGGCAAAUAGUAGAAUUCUAAUGCCAGUAUAAUCUUAACUAAAACAGUCAAAUGCACAACUUCAAGAGCUUGAAAGCUUCCUUAAAAGCUUCUCUUGUUAGCAGUUAAAGCAUAUCUGUUAGCUAACUGCCUUUAUACCAAAUUCAGACUUAAAACAUCUCAAAUUGCAUUUCUUAAAUUUUGUCUAAAUCCUAACUGAGUUCCCGGGUGCUAUUCAGAAAGGGGGUGUUUUUAGAAUUCAAACUUCUGCUGCCUUUAGUAGCCAGUAGGUAUAAAUGGCUUCCACUAUCAGCAGUUCUGAAAUACCAGACAUUAAUGCCGUACGGCCAAAACAAGCUAUUUCCCUGUCUCCCAAUUCAGAAAGUUACGUAAUGCUUUGAGAUAAAAGGUAUCACGCAGAGCUUUUUUUCUUUCUCUUUUUUUUCAUUGAGUUACUUGCAUAUAUGUUACUUGCACUGAAUUCUUUAGCUUCUUUCCCAUAAAUUUUAGUGGAAGAAAAUACAUUUUGCUCUUUCAUUUGUAAAGUCUAGAAUAAGAAAACACUGUAUGAGACUGUUUAAUGAAGGAACCUGGCAAUGUAAGUAUUGUAAUUUCCUUUAUGUUUGUGGUAGGCAACAAGAUUACCUUGUUAAACUUCUGGCUUCUGUAUGAAAAAUAUCAGAAAAGUAAGGGCAAAUUGAAAGAAGUUUUAUAGUUGCCUUUACUUCAUAUGCUUUUCUUAAGCAACAAAUUGCAGUAAUUGAAGUUUGGCAGCUUUUUAAAUGAAAAACUAAAUUAUGGGUUGAACUCCUUGGUUUAAUACAAUUUGUGUUUCUGUUAACUAGCAGCAGAAUUUCAGCAUUUGCUACUUACUGGUAGAGAAGAAAAAUUCCACAGCACUGCCAGUACAGUGGCUUGCAAUUCCUGUUCUGUUUUUUUGCUGUGCCCAGCUCUUGGCCAAAGUUGGAAAAGCAAAUCAUACCUUGCUACUUCUAGAACUACAUCUUCAGUCCAAGGUAGUUUCUGCACCUUCUGGUACCUGCCUCCCUGGGCCUGU